UUCAUCCAUUUCAACACUCACCAACAGAAUAUUAAAUAAUAUGUCUGUACUUCCUCAAAACAUACUGAAUAUUCAUGAAUAGAAUAAUUACAUACACUUACACUGAGGCAUCAGAUUUAUUUACUUGCAUCAGCCUUGAGAAGAAUCAACAUCCCUAAAACUUCAGAGUCAGAACCAAAGAUAAAGCAGAGUCUAUACAUUUGUGUUAAAGGGAUUCUAACUCCAUAAGAACAAGACUCUGUGUCGAAGGAUUGAUACCUUAUACCAGAAGAGGGAAUUCUCAGGAGAGUGACAUCACUACCACUGUGAACUAUAGCCCAGGAGAGCUGAAUGUUGAGGUAGCCGAGCGGCUCAGAAGUCUCAGCCUGCCCCAAUAGCACUACUGUGUGCUUCACCGCAUAAUUGAAGAACAAUAAGAGCUCAGUUGCUGUCAUGAGUUCUUUUGCUGCAAAAGAAAAAGAUCCCUUUGGCCAGAAGGAAGAAGUGAAUAUUGAUGAUCCAGUAACAUCAGUGCACCCUGACAAACAAGGGGAGCCAGAGAAUCUAGUGGGGUCUAAGAGAUCAGAUGAGGAGGCAACAUCUGGGCAGUGUAGGUUAAAUGAUGAGUCAGAAAUGUCUGGUUUUUGGUCAGAAUUAAGUCAGUGGAUAAAGUCACAUAGUACAAAGUCAGGGGAAACGGGGCGAGACGAAGGUAGUAAAGAAAAUAAAAUAACAGCAGGUACAAAACCAAUUGAUGACAAGCUUCCUGGACCUGGAAACAAUACUUGCAAUAUACUGUGAGAUUUGUUUUGCUCUAACUGAUAAUAACAUAUGUGCAUAUUUAUUAUUCACAGGUUUGGUCUUUAUUGUUCAUAUGUUCUUAUGCUACUGUUUACUUCUAUAUUAAAUGUAUAACACAAAUCUAAUCAUAUUGUCAAUGUGCUAAACAAAUAAGUUCUAGCCCAUACUGGACACAUUAUGUAAAUGAGUUGUAUGGUAGUACCUACCUAGCUAAAUACAUCAGAUGAGACAAUGACAAGAGACAUAUUGUGUAGCCACCAAACACCAGUUAUCUCCUAUUAGUUCACUGCUGCACACAAGCCUACCUAGAUAUGUUUCUCAACAAAAGAUACCCAGAGAAUAAAGUAAAUUUGAUAGCUGAAGUCAUUUGAAGAAGUCCCUUAAAAUCGCAUGCUCUUUCUGAACCAUGUAUGUUUGACUUUCACGUCCAUUUAAAUUUUGAAUGGGAGGAAUUAGACAACAAUAUUUCAAUACAUGCCAAAAUACUUUUUUCCCCCAGAACUUUUCAAUUGAAUUUUGGACUUUUCAAAAGAGUUUUGACCUCUUGAAAACCCAUUUUGGAUUUUGGUCUUUUACAUUUGUUUCAAUUUAAAGG